rnacentral:rRNA from 1 species
UACGGGGGGGGCAAGCGUUGUUCGGAAUUACUGGGCGUAAAGGGCUCGUAGGCGGCCAACUAAGUCGGAUGUGAAAUCCCCAGGCUUAACCUGGGAACUGCAUCCGAUACUGGAUGGCUUGAGAUUGGGAGAGGGAUGCGGAAUUCCAGGUGUAGCGGUGAAAUGACGUAGAUAUCUGGAGGAACACCGGUGGCGAAGGCGGCAUCCUGGACCAACACUGACGCUGAGGAGCGAAAGCCAGGGGAGCAAAGC